GCUUCGGUGUCCUAGUGGUUAGAGCGUCCGCUUUAGAUGUAGGAGAUCGUGGGUUCGAUCCCUUUUCGAGUCA